UAAACAUUUUUAUUUAAUAUGAGAAUUACUAUAAUAACACCUUCACAUUCGUAUGCAUCAAUUUUGUAAAUAUGUAAGGAGUUUGUAACAAUUACUACUUGGUGGAAUAAAAGUGUAUA
rnacentral:pre_miRNA from 1 species